rnacentral:rRNA from 1 species
GAUGAACGCUGGCGGCGUGCCUAAUACAUGCAAGUCGAGCGAACAGAUGAGGAGCUUGCUCCUCUGACGUUAGCGGCGGACGGGUGAGUAACACGUGGAUAACCUACCUAUAAGACUGGGAUAACUUCGGGAAACCGGAGCUAAUACCGGAUAAUAUAUUGAACCGCAUGGUUCAAUAGUGAAAGACGGUUUUGCUGUCACUUAUAGAUGGAUCCGCGCCGCAUUAGCUAGUUGGUAAGGUAACGGCUUACCAAGGCAACGAUGCGUAGCCGACCUGAGAGGGUGAUCGGCCCCCCUGGAACUGAGACACGGUCCAGACUCCUACGGGAGGCAGCAGUAGGGAAUCUUCCGCAAUGGGCGAAAGCCUGACGGAGCAACGCCGCGUGAGUGAUGAAGGUCUUCGGAUCGUAAAACUCUGUUAUUAGGGAAGAACAAAUGUGUAAGUAACUAUGCACGUCUUGACGGUACCUAAUCAGAAAGCCACGGCUAACUACGUG